AGAGUUUGAUCCUGGCUCAGGAUGAACGCUGGCGGCGUGCCUAAUACAUGCAAGUCGAACGCACAGCGAAAGGUGCUUGCACCUUUCAAGUGAGUGGCGAACGGGUGAGUAACACGUGGACAACCUGCCUCAAGGCUGGGGAUAACAUUUGGAAACAGAUGCUAAUACCGAAUAAAACUCAGUGUCGCAUGACACAAAGUUAAAAGGCGCUUUGGCGUCACCUAGAGAUGGAUCCGCGGUGCAUUAGUUAGUUGGUGGGGUAAAGGCCUACCAAGACAAUGAUGCAUAGCCGAGUUGAGAGACUGAUCGGCCACAUUGGGACUGAGACACGGCCCAAACUCCUACGGGAGGCUGCAGUAGGGAAUCUUCCACAACGGGCGCAAGCCUGAUGGAGCAACGCCGCGUGUGUGAUGAAGGCUUUCGGGUCGUAAAGCACUGUUGUAUGGGAAGAAAUGCUAAAAUAGGGAAUGAUUUUAGUUUGACGGUACCAUACCAGAAAGGGACGGCUAAAUACGUGCCAGCAGCCGCGGUAAUACGUAUGUCCCGAGCGCUAUCCGGAUUUAUUGGGCGUAAAGCGAGCGCAGACGGUUGAUUAAGUCUGAUGUGAAAGCCCGGAG
rnacentral:rRNA from 1 species